UUAUUAAAAUUAUUGUUUUUUUUUAUUUUGUUUUUUAUAUUUUAAUAAAAUAUAUUUUUGUCUUUGUAUAAUUUUUAGAUUUGAUAGUUUUUACUAUAGUAUAAGGUACUGUGAAGGAAAUUUUAUUAGUUUUUUUUUGAUUAAUUAAAGUUAAUUUUAUUAAUUGUAUCUUGUGUUUCAGAGUAUAUUAAAUUUAAUAAUUUAUAUUUUUUUCUCGAAUUUAAAAGAUUUAAUUAAUAAUAUUAGUUAUUGUUUCAUAAAUAUUAAUAAUUUUUAAUUGGUAAUGAGAUGUUAUUCGUUUUUGAGGAUAUCUAGUUUUUUAAUAAAUGAAUUUAAUUCAUGAUAUUUUAUUUAUUAUUUUAUUUUUUUAAUUGAUAUUUAAAUUAUCUAAUUUUUAAAGGGCUAAUCUUUUAAAAAUAUUUCUAUAAUUAAUUCUUUUUUAUGAAAUGUUAUGAAUUUAGAAUUUGUUAUUUAUUUAAAUAUGUUAAAAUUUAAUUUUAUAAAGUUUUAAAAUUAAGUUAUUUUUUAGGUUUUUUAUUAAAAUUAUUUAAUUUUUGUUGAAUUAUUUGUAAUUAUGAUUUAAUUAGUAAAUUUUAAUUUAUAUUAUUUUUUUUGGUAGUAAAUUUUUAUAAGGAAUUAGGCAAAUAUUUUAUUCGCCUGUUUAAUAAAAACAUGUUUUCUUGUAUGUUAAUUUAAGAAAUUUAACCUGCCCACUGAAAAUAUUUUGAAGGGCCGCAGUAUUUUGACUGUGCAAAGGUAGCAUAAUCAUUAGUCUUUUAAUUGAGGGCUGGUAUGAAUGGUUGGACGAAAUAAAAUCUGUUUUAUUUAAAUUUUAUUGAAUUUUGACUUUAAGUAAAAAGACUUAAAUUUUAUUAAGGGACGAUAAGACCCUAUAGAGUUUAAUAUAUUGGAAUUUAAAUUAGGUUAUUAAUUUUUAUUAUUAAUUUUUUUUCUUUUAUAUUUGAUUGGGGUGAUUUAAAGAUAAAUAUAACUCUUUAUUAAUUUUAAUUAUUAUAUUAAAUUUUUUGAUCCAUUUUUUGUGAUUUUAAGAUUAAAUUACCUUAGGGAUAACAGCAUAAUUUUUCUUGAGAGUUCUUAUUGACAGAAUAGAUUGUGACCUCGAUGUUGGAUUAAGAUAAAUAUUAGGUGUAGGUGUUUAAUUAUUAGGUCUGUUCGACCUUUAAAAUCUUACAUGAUCUGAGUUUAAACCGGUGUGAGCCAGGUUGGUUUCUAUCUUUAAUAAUUUAAUAUAUUUUAGUACGAGAGGACCAAAUAUAUGAAAUAAUUUUUUGUUAUUGAUUAUUAUUAAUAUAUUAUA
rnacentral:rRNA from 1 species